GGGUCGAUGAAGACACCCUUGUAUGCAUUCCAUGGAAAAUCUGAACAAAAUGAGUGAGAACACUCUACCGUCUCCUCAUCGAGUCUGAGGUCC
ensembl:snoRNA SNORD116 Small nucleolar RNA SNORD116